rnacentral:rRNA from 1 species
AUUGAACGCUGGCGGAAUGCUUUACACAUGCAAGUCGAACGGCAGCACGGACUUCGGUCUGGUGGCGAGUGGCGAACGGGUGAGUAAUGUAUCGGAACGUGCCCAGUCGUGGGGGAUAACGUAGUGAAAAUUACGCUAAUACCGCAUACGAUCUAUGGAUGAAAGCGGGGGAUCGCAAGACCUCGCGCGAUUGGAGCGGCCGAUAUCAGAUUAGGUAGUUGGUGGGGUAAAGGCCCACCAAGCCAACGAUCUGUAGCUGGACUGAGAGGACGACCAGCCACACUGGAACUGAGACACGGGCCAGACUCCUACGGGAGGCAGAAGUGGGGAAUUUUGGACAAUGGGCGAAAGCCUGAUCCAGCCAUUCCGCGUGCAGGAUGAAGGCCCUCGGGUUGUAAACUGCUUUUGUACAGAACGAAAAGGUUUCUACUAAUACUAGGAGCUCAUGACGGUACUGUAAGAAUAAGCACCGGCUAACUACGUGCCAGCCGCCGCAGUAA